UUUAUUUUUAAGAUAUUUAUAAAAGAAAAAAGUCUGUCUUAUAAGCUGACAAAUAUGGUAAUUAUUUUAAUUUAAUUAUUUUUCUUUUUCUUUAUUAUAUCUUAGCAUUUAUACAUUUUGCAAAUAUUGAAAAAAUGAAAUAUAAAAUUAACAGGCAGAAUGGAAAACCAGUAAUAAAGAGAGAGCUGACAGGCUUUGACAUACUGAGAAACGACAAAGAUGAUCCAAUACAAACUGAAAAGUUCAGAGUAUAUACCAUACCAAUAGUAGAUAUAGAAACAGGAGAGAUUAAGGAAUAUAUAGGAGAGACAAAAUGUCUACUAGGAAAUAGAUUCAGCAAACAUAAAAUGGACAUAAAGAAAGAUCACAUGAUUUAACUUUAAUAU
rnacentral:lncRNA from 1 species